rnacentral:rRNA from 1 species
AACGAACGCUGGCGGCAUGCCUAACACAUGCAAGUCGAACGAGACCUUCGGGUCUAGUGGCGCACGGGUGCGUAACGCGUGGGAACCUGCCCUUAGGUUCGGAAUAACUCCCCGAAAGGGGUGCUAAUACCGGAUAAUGUCUUCGGACCAAAGAUUUAUCGCCUUUGGAUGGGCCCGCGUUGGAUUAGCUAGUUGGUAGGGUAAAAGCCUACCAAGGCGGCGAUCCAUAGCUGGUCUGAGAGGAUGAUCAGCCACACUGGGACUGAGACACGGCCCAGACUCCUACGGGAGGCAGCAGUGGGGAAUAUUGGACAAUGGGCGAAAGCCUGAUCCAGCAAUGCCGCGUGAGUGAUGAAGGCCUUAGGGUUGUAAAGCUCUUUUACCCGGGAUGAUAAUGACAGUACCGGGAGAAUAAGCUCCGGCUAUCUCCGUG